AACGAACGCUGGCGGCAUGCCUAACACAUGCAAGUCGAACGAGACCUUCGGGUCUAGUGGCGCACGGGUGCGUAACGCGUGGGAACCUGCCCUUAGGUUCGGGAUAACUCCCCGAAAGGGGUGCUAAUACCGGAUAAUGUCUUCGGACCAAAGAUUUAUCGCCUUUGGAUGGGCCCGCGUUGGAUUAGCUAGUUGGUAGGGUAAAAGCCUACCAAGGCGACGAUCCAUAGCUGGUCUGAGAGGAUGAUCAGCCACACUGGGACUGAGACACGGCCCAGACUCCUACGGGAGGCAGCAGUGGGGAAUAGUGGACAAUGGGCGAAAGCCUGAUCCAGCAAUGCCGCGUGAGUGAUGAAGGCCUUAGGGUUGUAAAGCUCUUUUACCCGGGAUGAUAAUGACAGUACCGGGAGAAUAAGCUCCGGCUAACUCCGUG
rnacentral:rRNA from 1 species